GCUCAGGAUGAACGCUGGCGGCGUGCUUAACACAUGCAAGUCGAACGGGGAACAUUUUAUGGAAGCUUCGGUGGAAAUAGCUUGUUCCUAGUGGCGGACGGGUGAGUAACGCGUGGGUAACCUGCCUCACACUGGGGGAUAACAGUCAGAAAUGACUGCUAAUACCGCAUAAGCGCACGGGAUUGCAUGAUCCAGUGUGAAAAACUCCGGUGGUGUGAGAUGGACCCGCGUUGGAUUAGCCAGUUGGCAGGGUAACGGCCUACCAAAGCGACGAUCCAUAGCCGGCCUGAGAGGGUGGACGGCCACAUUGGGACUGAGACACGGCCCAGACUCCUACGGGAGGCAGCAGUA
rnacentral:rRNA from 1 species